UACAGAGGGUGCGAGCGUUGUCCGGAAUCACUGGGCGUAAAGGGCGCGUAGGCGGCUUGAUAAGGUUGCGGUGAAAGCCCGGGGCUCAACCCCGGGUCGGCCGUGGCAACUGUCGAGCUGGAGCACUGUAGAGGCAGGUGGAAUUCCGGGCGUAGCGGUGGAAUGCGUAGAGAUCCGGAAGAACACCGGUGGCGAAGGCGGCCUGCUGGGCAGUGGCUGACGCUGAGGCGCGACAGCGUGGGGAGCAAACAGG
rnacentral:rRNA from 1 species